AAGCUCCCUGAGCGCCUGCGCGGGGGGCCCGCGGAGGCGCCUGCGAGCGGCGGGGACACCAUGACGCAUGCGUAAUACAGCUUGACAAAGCGCGGAGGAAAAAUCCGCGAGACGGCGCCUGGAGAAGAUGGCGGUGUGGAGGGAGAGUUUGCAAUCUUUCUGACUAGGCUAGUGGAGGAACUAUUCGGGUCAUGGCGUCGAACUCAACUAAGUCUUUCCUGGCAGAUGCCGGGUAUGGUGAACAGGAACUGGAUGCCAACUCUGCUCUCAUGGAAUUGGACAAAGGUCUAAGAUCUGGCAAACUUGGUGAACAGUGUGAAGCAGUGGUUCGCUUUCCCAGGCUUUUCCAGAAGUAUCCAUUCCCUAUUCUCAUCAAUUCUGCAUUCCUAAAGUUAGCUGAUGUUUUCAGAGUUGGAAACAAUUUCCUAAGACUGUGUGUGCUUAAAGUUACCCAACAAAGUGAGAAGCAUUUGGAGAAGAUUUUAAAUGUGGAUGAAUUUGUGAAGAGGAUUUUUUCUGUGAUUCACAGUAAUGAUCCUGUGGCAAGAGCUAUCACACUCCGGAUGUUGGGAAGUCUGGCAUCUAUAAUUCCUGAGAGGAAGAAUGCUCAUCAUAGUAUUCGUCAAAGUUUGGAUUCACACGAUAAUGUGGAAGUGGAAGCUGCUGUGUUUGCUGCUGCGAACUUCUCUGCACAGUCCAAGGAUUUUGCUGUUGGAAUCUGUAACAAAAUCAGUGAAAUGAUUCAAGGUUUAGCUACACCAGUAGACUUGAAGCUGAAGUUGAUCCCCAUCCUACAGCACAUGCACCAUGAUGCUAUCUUGGCUUCCAGUGCGCGUCAGCUUUUACAACAACUAGUCACUUCCUAUCCUUCCACCAAAAUGGUGAUUGUUUCUUUGCACACUUUCACUCUGCUUGCAGCUUCAUCUUUGGUUGAUACACCUAAGCAGAUUCAGCUUUUGCUGCAAUAUUUGAAAAAUGAUCCCAGGAAAGCAGUAAAGAGACUUGCUAUUCAAGAUUUGAAAUUACUUGCCAAUAAAACACCACAUACUUGGAGCAAGGACAAUAUUCAGGCCCUCUGUGAAUGUGCUCUCCAAACUCCUUAUGACAGCUUAAAACUAGGGAUGCUGUCUGUCCUUUCCACACUAUCAGGGACCAUUGCCAUCAAGCAUUACUUCAGCACAGCUCCAGGAAAUGUAGGUUCUUCCCCCAGAUCCUCUGAUUUAGUCAAAUUAGCCCAAGAGUGCUGUUACCAUAAUAACAGAGGCAUUGCAGUACAUGGAGUUAGAGUCCUAACUAACAUAACCGUCUCUUGUCAAGAAAAAGAUCUUUUGGCACUGGAGCAAGAUGCUGUCUUUGGCCUAGAAUCUCUUCUGGUACUUUGUAGUCAAGAUGAUAGCCCAGGUGCUCAAGCCACUUUAAAGAUUGCUUUUAAUUGUAUGGUGAACUUGGCCAAGGGCCGGCCCCAUCUUAGCCAGUCAGUUGUGGAAACUUUGCUGACUCAGUUACACAGUGCUCAGGAUGCCCAUCGGAUCCUGAUGUGCCAUUGCCUGGCAGCCAUUGCCAUGCAGCUGCCAGUGUUGGGUGAUGGAAUGCUUGGUGACCUCAUGGAACUCUACAAGGUCAUUGGGCGAUCAGCCACAGACAAACAACAGGAACUUCUGGUGAGUUUGGCCACUGUGAUUUUUGUAGCUAGCCAGAAAGCAUUAUCUGCUGAAGUAAAGGCAGUAAUUAAGCAGCAGCUUGAAAGUGUCUCCAAUGGAUGGACUGUGUACCGAAUUGCCAGACAGGCUUCCAGAAUGGGCAAUCAUGACAUGGCCCGAGAGCUUUAUCAGAGUCUGCUGACUCAGGUGGCCUCAGAACACUUCUACUUCUGGCUGAAUAGUUUGAAGGAGUUCUCACAUGCAGAGCAGUGUCUCGCUGGGUUGCAGGAAGAGAAUUACAGUUCAGCACUUUCUUGCAUUGCUGACUCUUUAAAAUUCUACCAUAAAGGGAUUGCUUCCUUAACCGCUGCCAGUACACCACUGAAUCCUUUAAGUUUUCAGUGCGAAUUUGUAAAACUCAGGAUUGAUCUUCUCCAAGCCUUCUCUCAACUUAUCUGUACUUGUAAUAGUCUCAAGACAAGCCCUCCACCUGCAAUUGCCACAACAAUUGCCAUGACCUUAGGAAAUGACCUUCAGAGAUGUGGUCGAAUCUCCAAUCAGAUGAAGCAAUCCAUGGAAGAAUUCCGAAGCCUUGCUUCAAGAUAUGGGGAUCUUUAUCAGGCAUCUUUUGAUGCCGAUUCAGCAACUCUAAGGAAUGUAGAAUUACAGCAGCAGAGCUGUUUGCUGAUAUCUCAUGCAAUAGAAGCCCUAAUUUUGGAUCCAGAAUCAGCAAGUUUCCAGGAAUAUGGAUCUACCGGAGCAGCCCAUGCUGAUAGUGAAUAUGAGAGAAGAAUGAUGUCUGUAUAUAAUCAUGUCUUGGAGGAGGUAGAAUCACUCAAUCGAAAAUAUACUCCCGUUUCUUAUAUGCAUACAGCAUGCCUCUGCAAUGCCAUCAUUGCCUUGCUGAAAGUACCCCUUUCAUUUCAGAGAUAUUUUUUCCAGAAACUGCAGUCUACCAGCAUCAAGCUUGCACUGUCUCCAUCCCCUCGGAAUCCUGCAGAACCCAUUGCCGUACAGAAUAACCAGCAGCUGGCGUUAAAGGUAGAGGGAGUGGUUCAGCACGGGUCUAAACCAGGACUCUUCCGCAAAAUUCAGUCCGUCUGCCUGAAUGUUUCUUCUACACUACAGAGUAAAUCAGGACAAGACUACAAGAUACCCAUUGACAAUAUGACCAAUGAGAUGGAGCAGAAAGUUGAGCCUCAUAAUGAUUACUUCAGUACCCAGUUCCUGUUGAACUUUGCUAUCCUUGGAACACAUAACAUCACAGUGGAAUCCUCAGUGAAAGACGCCAAUGGCAUUGUAUGGAAGACUGGCCCCAGAACUACCAUAUUUGUCAAAUCUCUGGAAGAUCCUUACUCCCAACAGAUUCGCCUACAACAGCAGCAAGCCCAGCAACCCUUACAGCAGCAGCAGCGCAAUGCCUACACGCGGUUUUAACCAUGCCAUGCACACACUGCAGACUUCCAAGGGAUUGAUCAAACUGACUGAAAAGCAAGUGCAGAUGCCAUGUAAUAGGGAGAGCAGCUCCCAUCCUGCUGUGAGCUGCGUAUAACCAGGCUUGAUCUGAAGAUGGGAGAAUCCACGGAAGACCCCUCAAAGUUGUGUAGUCUCCUGAUGGAGCCAGCCCUCUCCUGUCAGAGAACAUAGAGAA